rnacentral:rRNA from 1 species
CGAGGACGAACGCUGGCGGCGUGCCUAACACAUGCAAGUCGAACGAGAAUCUUCUGAUAGAAUUCUUCGGGAUGAAAUUAGAAGAGGACAGUGGCGGACGGGCGAGUAACGCGUGAGUAACCUGCCCAUAAGAGGGGGAUAGCACCUGGAAACGGGUAGUAAUACCUCAUAUUGACAACUGAUCGCAUGGUUGGUUGUUGAAAGAUUUGAUCGCUUAUGGAUGGACUCGCGUCUGAUUAGCUAGUUGGUGAGGUAACGGCUCACCAAGGCGACGAUCAGUAGCCGAACUGAGAGGUUGAACGGCCGCAUUGGGACUGAGACACGGCCCAGACUCCUACGGGAGGCAGCAGUGGGGAAUAUUGCGCAAUGGGGGGAACCCUGACGCAGCAACGCCGCGUGCAGGAAGAAGGUCUUCGGAUUGUAAACUGUUGUCGCGAGGGAAGAAGGAAGAUGACGGUACCUCGUGAGAAAGUCACGGCUAACUACGUGCC